UACGUAGGGGGCGAGCGUUGUCCGGAUUUAUUGGGCGUAAAGAGCUCGUAGGCGGUUGGGUAAGUCGGGUGUGAAAACUCAGGGCUCAACUCUGAGACGCCACUCGAUACUGCCCUGACUCGAGUCCGGUAGGGGAGCGUGGAAUUCCCGGUGUAGCGGUGAAAUGCGCAGAUAUCAGGAGGAACACCAACGGCGAAGGCAGCUCGCUGGGACGGUACUGACGCUGAGGCGCGAAAGCGUGGGGAGCAAACAGG
rnacentral:rRNA from 1 species